GGGCGCGCGCGGCCCGGCCGGGAGGUGCGGAAGUUCGCCGCCGCCGCUCAUUGGCGGGCCGCGCCGCUUUCAUCAUUUCUCGGAAAAGUCAAUUUCAUUUUCACUUCCCCACGUCGCGGCAGCAGGAGCAACAAGCGGCUGCUCGAAUAAAAGGAACAAUGAACUGACAAGACAGCAGUACUUCCAUAGUCACGCAAGAACUGGGCCCGCCGAGGACCGGCGACCUUAACCUUAACUGAACCGUCGUCAGGAGUUGAGGGUGUCACCAUUUGGAGGGCUGCCGCCAUCUCUGGCACCACCUGGCGCUCUGUUCCGUAGGGAAGGUGAUAAAAGGGGGUGUCCCCCCCCCCCGGGUCGGUCUACAGCAGCACAUGCGAGACCGAGUUAUCGCCGGUGCAACAGAAGUUCCUUUACUGCAGGAGGAGGUGCGCAAGGGUUUUAACCAGCCUUCUCCCAACUUCUCUCUGCCACCAAGAAAGACCCUUCCUGGGAGCUAUUGCAUGUGAACACUUCUAAAAACAUAGCGCCAACAUCCCUCUUUGCCACUGAAGUAUUGAAUUCUGUGGAUUGGAAGAAAUAAAAGUCUCUCAGUGUGCAUAUGUGAUGAGGAGAUGGCUGAGUGUUUAGGAUUCUGCUUCGUGGCUGUGAUCUCGGAAACAGAUCUCACAUAUGCACAUUGCUGCUUCUUCCCUCUCCUGUAAUACUGUCUGACACAGACACUUGCUUCCUUAUUUCAUAGAACAUUGACCACUCCAGGCACUGAGCGUCCUUAUAGACAAAGUCUGUAGGGCGGCUGUCGCCCUUUACCCACCUAGGGACACAAGUUAAAAACCCAGUAGUCGUUCGUCAUGUCUUCUUUCCCCCAACAUACAUCCAAUGGGUAGUACCCUACUGACCUGUUGAUGCUAAUACAUGUGGGCCUGGCCCCUUCAUCCCCACUGCACUCCCUGUGACCAGUAAAGGCAGCUGUUGCCAACCAUGCCCACCCUUGGGCUCCUCUGGGUUAGCAGCCACGCUACUGUCCAAUGCAGUAGAAAACUGACUUCAAAUAAAGCAUGAUUCUAACCCUAAUUCUGCUUCUCAUAAACCGCCCUGUAACCUUCAGGAUAAAGUCCAUUUUUUUAUUA